AAAUUGAAGAGUUUGAUCAUGGCUCAGAUUGAACGCUGGCGGCAGGCCUAACACAUGCAAGUCGAGCGGAAACGAGUUAUCAGAACCUUCGGGGAACGAUAACGGCGUCGAGCGGCGGACGGGUGAGUAAUGCCUAGGAAAUUGCCCUGAUGUGGGGGAUAACCAUUGGAAACGAUGGCUAAUACCGCAUGAUGCCUUUGGGCCA
rnacentral:rRNA from 1 species